rnacentral:tRNA from 1 species
GGGAAGGUGGCUCAGUGGUAGAGUGCUUGUCUUGCAUGCAUGAGGCCCUGGGUUCCAUUCCUGACGCUGCCC